AUGAUUUCCAAUUUUUUAUUCUCCCUUGGAGCAACUUCGAGUCAAACGUCGAGUCAGUUUCACGAUGGCCGCAACUACAACUGUGUGUACAUAAUAGUAUGUGUACCUGAUUCCCACAUACACACAUCUCGUGUCGACCAAAUCAGAUUCCCUCCUUCGGGUUUCAUUAGCAGAGUUUGCUCGAUCGCCCAGUAUGUAACUACUGAAGCAGCCCAACAUAAACAUUGUGGUUCUCAAGACCAAACAAUCCCAGUCGAUAUGCCUGAAAGGCUUGUCUUCACCACCGCGGCGGUGGUGAAAAUGAUACACCAAUGGAAAUACAUGGGUCGAGGUCUCUAG
rnacentral:rRNA from 1 species